AUUAGAUGCUGCUAGAGGAAUUGAAUAUCUUCACAAUUAUGCUGUCCCACCGAUAAUUCAUAGAGAUAUAAAGUCUUCCAACAUCUUGCUUGAUGCUAAUUGGACAGCAAGAGUUUCUGAUUUUGGAUUGUCAUUAAUGGGUCCUGAAUCUGAAAGAGAUCACAGGCCAAUGAAGGCAGCAGGAACAGUUGGCUACAUUGAUCCUGAGUAUUAUGGUCUAAAUUUAUUAACAGCAAAGAGUGAUGUCUAUGGCCUUGGUGUGGUAUUAUUAGAACUUCUGACAGGCAAGAGAGCUAUAUUCAAGGAUGAUGAAAAUGGAGGCACACCAACAAGUAUAGUGGAUUUUGCAGUGCCUAGAAUUAUGGCUGGGGAAUUGGUUAAGGUUUUGGACCCCAGGGUCGGUCCGCCACAGCUUAAUGAAGCAGAGGCUGUGGAGCUGGUAGCAUAUACUGCACUUCACUGUGUGAAUUUGGAAGGAAAAGAUAGGCCAACUAUGACUGACAUUGUUGCUAAUUUGGAGAGAUCGUUGUCUCUCUGUGAUGGUAGCCAUGGCAGCAUCUCCAGUGGUACAAUCUCAAUUGUUUCAGAAUGAAAAAUUCAGCCCAGAAAGAGCUACAAAAAAUAACUUUUUUCCUUUAUGAUUUUUUCUUAGAUAAUUGAUUUGAUAUAGUUUUGGAAUUGGUGUAAACAAUCAGGAGCUCCCUUUUUAUUCUUCUGAAUUUUAGAUGAAUUAGUUGUUUCAUCUAACAUUUGUAAUUCAUCUAACAUUUAGCUGUAGUGUAGGAUUUUAUGAACACUGACAGCAAUGAGAAUGAUUAAAUGAUUUUAUUUUCAUUAAGAAUGUUCUUUGUGUUUUGCUGGACUCUUACAAGACUCCUUUAACUUCCUAUAUAUCCUUAAAUGUGUACUUGCACAAAAU
rnacentral:misc_RNA from 1 species